rnacentral:rRNA from 1 species
GACGAACGCUUGCGGCGUGCUUAACACAUGCAAGUCGAACGGAAAGGCCCUGCUUUUGUGGGGUGCUCGAGUGGCGAACGGGUGAGUAACACGUGAGUAACCUGCCCUUGACUUUGGGAUAACUUCAGGAAACUGGGGCUAAUACCGGAUAGGAGCUCCUGCUGCAUGGUGGGGGUUGGAAAGUUUCGGCGGUUGGGGAUGGACUCGCGGCUUAUCAGCUUGUUGGUGGGGUAGUGGCUUACCAAGGCUUUGACGGGUAGCCGGCCUGAGAGGGUGACCGGCCACAUUGGGACUGAGAUACGGCCCAGACUCCUACGGGAGGCAGCAGUGGGGAAUAUUGCACAAUGGGCGGAAGCCUGAUGCAGCAACGCCGCGUGCGGGAUGACGGCCUUCGGGUUGUAAACCGCUUUCGCCUGUGACGAGGCGUGAGUGACGGUAAUGGGUAAAGAAGCACCGGCUAACUACGUGCCAGCAGCCGCGGUGAUACGUAGGGUGCGAGCGUUGUCCGGAUUUAUUGGGCGUAAAGGGCUCGUAGGUGGUUGAUCGCGUCGGAAGUGUAAUCUUGGGGCUUAACCCUGAGCGUGCUUUCGAUACGGGUUGACUUGAGGAAGGUAGGGGAGAAUGGAAUUCCUGGUGGAGCGGUGGAAUGCGCAGAUAUCAGGAGGAACACCAGUGGCGAAGGCGGUUCUCUGGGCCUUUCCUGACGCUGAGGAGCGAAAGCGUGGGGAGCGAACAGGCUUAGAUACCCUGGUAGUCCACGCUGUAAACGGUGGGUACUAGGUGUGGGGUCCAUUCCACGGGUUCCGUGCCGUAGCUAACGCUUUAAGUACCCCGCCUGGGGAGUACGGCCGCAAGGCUAAAACUCAAAGGAAUUGACGGGGCCCCGCACAAGCGGCGGAGCAUGCGGAUUAAUUCGAUGCAACGCGUAGAACCUUACCUGGGUUUGUCAUGGAUCGGGAGUGCUCAGAGAUGGGUGUGCCUCUUUUGGGGUCGGUUCACAGGUGGUGCAUGGCUGUCGUCAGCUCGUGUCGUGAGAUGUUGGGUUAAGUCCCGCAACGAGCGCAACCCUUGUUCACUGUUGCCAGCACGUUAUGGUGGGGACUCAGUGGAGACCGCCGGGGUCAACUCGGAGGAAGGUGGGGAUGACGUCAAGUCAUCAUGCCCCUUAUGUCCAGGGCUUCACGCAUGCUACAAUGGCUGGUACAGAGAGUGGCGAGCCUGUGAGGGUGAGCGAAUCUCGGAAAGCCGGUCUCAGUUCGGAUUGGGGUCUGCAACUCGACCUCAUGAAGUCGGAGUCGCUAGUAAUCGCAGAUCAGCAACGCUGCGGUGAAUACGUUCCCGGGGCU